UUUUGAGUUAGUCUGUGAUCAGAGCCUGUGGUGGAGAGUCAGUUUUUUUGGGCAGCAGCCUUGAAUAUUAUUGAUGGAGGGACUUGAAGUUGCAACUUAAGGAGAUUGAGAACGAAUUUGCUACUCUGCUGUCGUUUGAAUAUCAUCUCCAACUUGCUAGACGCGAAGUGACUGAAACGAGUUAGAGGUUGGAAAUGAGUCAGCAUGAAAGGAAGUGACUAGUAGCCUAAUGGCUUCAACACGAAGACGUAGAGCAGACACAUGUUUAACCACUUUGAAAUAAAUAGGCGUUCCAUGAAGAGUUCCUCGUGAAGAAAAAAGAUCUUUUGCAGAAUCUGUGCCACUUUGAAACACUUGCUACAAAAAUUUCCAAAAGGGAAAAAAUGUGCUUUUAAUUUACAAAUAUAUGGAGCGCUAAGUAGACAGCUGAGUAGCCCCACUUAGAUUUGGUAGUCUGUAACCAGACUUUAGAAAGUUUAGGAAAAUGGAUAUUCCAUUGUAAACGUUAUCUAUCUGGCAGAAUUUAAUUUAAUAGUUCAGAUGAUAUGUUACGUAGAUUUAUCAAUCUUUGAUCAUAUAAUAACAGAAUAUACACUCGGACGUAGUGCCAUUUGUUUUUCAUGUACUUAGUACUUCAUUUUAGUUUAUAAAUGCCUGUCAUUACUUAAAAACUCUCUACCAGAAUUAAAUUCUUGUUAACUCAAAAACUCUAUGCCAAUUCAAAGAGACUCGAAACCA